rnacentral:siRNA from 1 species
ACCAUCUAUGUCAGCAAAGUGCA